UUGUGGGGAGGCCCUGGGGCUUGGUGGGGAGCAGCCGAUCACAGCAUGGGCCACUGUGGAGCCCCUACAGGCCCACCUGCAGCUGCAGGGACCAGCUCUUGGGGGAGACUUUAUCUGGGGCCCUGGGAGAUGUGGCGGCUUUUAUUUACAUCCCCCCAAAUCUGCCGUGGUUCUCCAGGGUAGAAGAAAGCCAGGUGGGCAGGAAGAGGUGGAGAGGCCCCGCCCAGCUUAGGUGCUCCCUGUUAGCACGGACUAACCCAUGGAAGGUGAGCCUUGCACUACUGACCUAUGCAGGACCCUCGCUUUCACCUCGGCCUGGCAAGAAGCUUCCAGAAUGAGUCCAUCCAGGAGGGGGAGAACGUGAAGACACACUCAUCCACAGCUGGGCAGGGUGGGGAGGGUCUUUGGGGUGGAGAUCUGGCCCCAUCUAUCAAAAUGUCAAGUGACUCAAGAAUUGCCCUUCCAGAAAUUUCCACGAGAGCCUCGUAAAGUGUCUCCUGCCCACCCCCACCGUCGUUCCAUUCAGCAGCAUGCGCCGCUCAGAACGAGGAAGAACAAACGGGAGUGGCCAUGACUGACACACGAGAUGGAUCGGAUGGGACAGGACAGGACAGACCUUGAGAAGCCGGAGCGAGGUCUGCCUAUGCAGUGGCAGCAUUCACAAGAGCCAAAAGCUGGAAACAAGCCAGUGUCCAUCGGUCCAUCAGUCCAUCCGUCCAUCCCACGAAACACGAGUCAGCCGUAACAAGGAAGAGAAUCCUGACCCACACCACGACUCGGGUGAACCUUGCUGACACUGGUCACAGAAGGAUGAGUACCCCACCUGCUCACGUUCCCCCCUCCCUGUUCCCUGGGGUCACCUCCCAAAUAAGCCACUUGGCCUUGAAUGUGCGUGUCUGUUUCUGGGGGAACCAGUCACAUGUAGAUGAGUGUCUACGUGCUUGCGCAGACAGGUUACGUUUUAUAUAUAAAUCCCAGCUGCACCCCGAGCCGGGAGCAACUUACUUAAACUCCCGGAGCCUCAAUUUCUGCAGCAAUAAGCGAGUAGCCGGACGCGCUCCCCUGCGGGGCUGGGAUGAGGGCGGUAGUAGUAGCCGUGGGUUGCCACAACCUAGCGCACUUUCCCCCGGCCCACAGGCGGGCAGUCCCAGACACGGGUGUCAGAAGGGCCGGGGUCUGCCCAGGCCUCUCUGCGGCCUCCUGCCUUCUCUCUGCGCACAUUCGCCCCCUAAUCUCCUCUUCUUACCAGGACACGGGCAGACUGGAGUGGGGCUCACCUCAGCGAACUUUUUAAAUCUUAAUCAGCUCCUGAAAUACCCUGUCUCCGCACACAAUCACGUCAUGAGGUUCCGGCCUCAGCACGUGAAUCUCAGGGGGCACAAUUCAGCGCAUCACGGGGACAGAGUGAGUUAAGGAGGCCACAUGUGAUGGGCCAAUCCCUCGUGAAUGGGGAAACUGAGGAAGCUGCUUCUGGCAGGAGUGAGAAUGGCAUCUUCCACUCUGGAAUGCACAUCCAGGCCCCAGAGCCAGUUCUGACAGACGGACCCAAAGUCUGGAAAGCCCUGGAAACAGGGAGCAAAGCUGAUGGUCCCCAAGACGUUCCUCAUGUGCCCCCAGGAGAGUCUCCCGUCUCUGAAGAUGCCCGUUGCCUCCAGGUGUGAGCAUCUCCCCAAGCACACCGUGCGCCACGGUCACCCACAGCCCCCAGAACGCGCAGCCACUGGCAGGUGCCCAUUUUUGCCAAACGAAUGGUGAAUUCAGAAUCUGUGCCUAGCUUGCCUGGCUCGGACUAGGCUCGGAUUCGGCGAGAGGACCCCGGGGUCAUUCCAGGGCAGUUCAUUCCUGAGGGAACCACCUCACCCCGCAGGAUCUCCAACUGCCCCCCCCUCCCCGAAUCCCUUUCAGUGGGCCUCCCCGCUCCCCCAUGGUCUGGAAGAACUUGGCUCCACUGGAUUCAUCUGUCCCUUCCACGUCGCUGAGACUUUUCUGGCUUCCAGCCUGGCUUUAACAAGGGUGGGGGAUUGGUCGCCAGGACCCCGCUGGGGCCCCAACAGCCCUUUGUGGCACCAUCUGCCCUUGUCAAUCUCGAGACUCCCGCCUCCAGGGAUCACCAAUCACAGCGCCGGUUUUGUCACCAGUGGCCAGUCAGCACUUCCGCUGACCCCUGGGGCAGCAAGGUGGGAGCAAGGCCGCUCCAGCACCCCCCACGCCGGGGGCCGACCCCAGAACCCCACACGUCCCCAUCCAUCCUGUCACUGUGUACUUAUCGGACACGCACGGGCCGCCCCGCUCCACCUGUGAGACUGUGCCUUGCUGCUCCGAACCUCGGUCUCUUCCCUCUUGGGAAGUUCGGGCUUAAGUGAGACCCUGCAGUCCCUGCAGGGCUGGCCACGUGGAGGUCUGCCGGGGGCCGAGAACGCGGGGUGGGCUCAGGGCUGGCAAUUUCAUCAGGUUCUUAUCUGCCAGAUGGAGAAGUGCCCCCCAACUCCCAGGGCUGAGCCUGGGAGUCCUGCUUUGAUGUAGGCACCCAUCCUGGCCCCCAAGCUUAGCCCAUCCGGUGGACUCCUUCCGGGAUCUGCACCCAUCUCUGUGUUGGUCCUCAGAGGGUCUCUUGGACCACACAAUCCCCAGCCCCUGGGGGACAUGAGCCUCGUGUUCAGGGGUGUGUUUGGGGCCUCUUGCAGUGUAUGAGGAGGGCCCCAUACUUCCAAGUUCUGGUCAAGGUGCAUCUGUGGGGGCAGGAGGAGGAAGCUGGAUCUGUGGGUUCCUGUCACCUCGAUCUCUACCUCCUGUGCACACAGGCGUGCAGUGCAUGGGCUCAGCCCAAGUGCAUUCCUCUUCCAGGCCUCCAAAUACCGGAGGAGGGAAGUUUUGGAACCAGAUUCAGCCACCUCCUUACCCAGGAUCUCCCACUAUGUGCUUGGGACACUGGUGGUCCCAGAC